rnacentral:rRNA from 1 species
AAUAUUGGACAAUGGGGGCAACCCUGAUCCAGCAAUGCCGCGUGUGUGAAAGAAGGCCUUAGGGUUGUAAAAGCACUUUUCAAAUGGUGAAAGAUGAUGACGGUAACCCAUAGAAAGAAAGCCCCGGGCUAACUUUCGUGCCCAGCAGCCCGCGGUAAAUACGAAGGGGGGCGAGCGUUGUUUCGGAAAUUACUGGGGCGUAAAGGGGCGCGCAGGGCGGCCCACCCCAGUCAGGGUGUGAAAAGCCCCCGGGCUUAACCUGGGAACUGCACUUGAUACUGGUGGGCUAGAAAACGGGAAGAGGGAGAGUGGAAUUCCCCAGUGUAGAGGGUGAAAUUCGUAGAUAUUGGGAAGAACACCCAGUGGCGAAGGCGGCUCUCUGGUCCGAUUUUGACGCUGAGGCGCGAAAGCGUGGGGAGCGAACAGGAUUAGAUACCCUGGUAGUCACGCCGUA